rnacentral:lncRNA from 1 species
UCAGCAUUUUUAAAAUAAGCUGUUCUAAAUGAAACUUUUCAUUUCCAGCUUUCUUUCACCAUUGUAAGUUACUCCUCUCUGUCAUGUGCUAUCUGCCUGCACUUUUGCAAAUAGGUCUUUUUGGAUUGGUCCUGGACUCAGGCUCUCUCCCCCAAAGCAUGCAGUGGAUAGCUUGUUGAUCACAGCUGUUUAUUUUUUAUGUUGGGGCUUCCUUCUUUAGUUCCAGCUCCAUGAAUCAGGAGCUCAAGAAGGAGGGUUGUUAAUAGGCUGUUGGAGCAGGAUUGGAGCCAAGUAGUGAGGUUCAAACUACAGGGGUAAACAUGGAAAUUCAUUCAUUCAUGCAUUCUUUCAUUCACGGUUUAUUGAGAAUUACUGAGGUGAGGGACAGGUUUAGUGUGGUUUUCCUAUCUGUUCUUGCUUUUGUUUUAAUCUUUCUCCCCUCAAAUUCUCUACAGAGUUUAAGAUUUCUUCACAACAGCUGCUUCUCUACAGGGGUAACAGCUAGACCUCUGGUAGUGUUAGAAGGAGACAACCCAGGACAGCAGCAGCUGGUUUUAUUUUUGGUUUUCGUCAGGUGUUGAUUGGUGAAUUUACCUGAGAAGUUGAGACUCAAGAUUGUGAAAACGUGUGACUAGGACCGAAAGCAGAUUUUCAGGUAGGAAAUCAAGAUUGUUCUCUUUAAUUCCUUUGCACUGGUUUUUGCAGCAGUCAAAUCAGCAUUUUCAUAGGAAACACAAUAUCCAAAAGCAAAGGACUGUGUAGAUUCUGAGUUUGUACUAGGAAAAACCUGUAUGUUCCUUUUUAAAGAAUUCUUUUCUCUACUUUCCAAAUAGUUAUAGCUGAGCUUUGAAAUGAGAUCCAAGAGGAACUUGAAGAAGUAUAUCUAUAUUUGCAAAAGUCUUCUAGAUUUGAUUUUGAUUCUGGAAGCCUAUUUGAAAUGUAAUUAUCAGAGUAUAAAUAAAUUUAAAUUUAUUAUGCCA